UAGUUCAGGUUUUUCUUUAUUGACGUAUAAAGCUUUCGCCUUUUACUAAAGAUUUCCGUGGAGAGAAAUAUUAAUGAGCUCGGUAUAUUUUUGCAGGCUUUGCUCUGGUAGAGCU